GACGAACGCUGGCGGCGUGCUUAACACAUGCAAGUCGAACGGAAAGGCCUUCUUUCCGUGGUGUGUCGGGGGGCCUAACGUGUGAGUAAGAUGAGUACAACGUGCUCUAUAUUUUCGGAGAUUUUCACGAAGCUUGGGCUACUACCUUAUAUCAGCUCCCGCUCUAUGGUGUGGUGUGGAUAGUUUCAGCGGUUGGGGUUGGACUCGCGGAUUAUCAGUUUGUUGGUGGGGUUGUGGCUUACCAAGGCUUUGACAGGUAGCCGGCCUGAGAGGGUGACUGGCCACAUUGGAACUGAGAUACGGCCCAGACUCCUACGGGAGGCAGCAGUGGGGAAUAUUACACAAUGGGCGGAAGCCUGAUGCAGCAACGCCGCGUUCGGGAUGACGGCCUUCGGGCUGUAAACCGCUUUCGCCUGUGACGAAGCGUGAGUGACGGUAAUGGGUAAAGAAGCACCGGCUAACUACGUG
rnacentral:rRNA from 1 species